rnacentral:rRNA from 1 species
ACAUCCAGCGAACUUGGCAGAGAUGCCUUGGUGCCUUCGGGAACGCUGAGACAGGUGCUGCAUGGCUGUCGUCAGCUCGUGUGUGAAAUGUUGGGUUAAGUCCCGNAACGAGCGCAACCCUUAUCCUUUGUUGCCAGCGAUUCGGUCGGGAACUCAAAGGAGACUGCCGGUGAUAAACCGGAGGAAGGUGGGGAUGACGUCAAGUCAUCAUGGCCCUUACGAGUAGGGCUACACACGUGCUACAAUGGCGCAUACAAAGAGAAGCGACCUCGCGAGAGCAAGCGGACCUCAUAAAGUGCGUCGUAGUCCGGAUCGGAGUCUGCAACUCGACUCCGUGAAGUCGGAAUCGCUAGUAAUCGUGGAUCAGAAUGCCACGGUGAAUACGUUCCCGGGCCUUGUACACACCGCCCGUCACACCAUGGGAGUGGGUUGCAAAAGAAGUAGGUAGCUUAACCCUCGGGAGGGCGCUUACCACUUUGUGAUUCAUGACUGGGGUGAAGUCGUAACAAGGUAAGCGUAGUGCU